rnacentral:rRNA from 1 species
UACGUAGGCAGCGAGCGUUGUUCGGAGUUACUGGGCGUAAAGAGUGCGUAGGCGGUUUUCUAAGUUUGGUGUGAAAUCUCCCGGCUUAACCGGGAAAGGUCGUCGGAUACUGCGGAACUAGAGGACGGUAGAGGCGUGUGGAAUUCCGGGUGUAGUGGUGAAAUGCGUAGAGAUCCGGAGGAACACCAGUGGCGAAGGCGACACGCUGGGCCGUACCUGACACUGAUGCGCGACAGCAUGGGGAGCAAACAGG